rfam:Eutrema salsugineum unplaced genomic scaffold scaffold_14, whole genome shotgun sequence.
AAACCAUGAUGUGGACAAUCUCUCUGAUAUGAUUUGAAUCGCACCCAAGAAGCCUUGAACGCUUCAGUUGGUUCUUGAGAGAAUGUCGAAAUUUUUGUUCUCAAUUC